AGUGAACGCUGGCGGUAGGCCUAACACAUGCAAGUCGAACGGCAGCACAGUAAGAGCUUGCUCUUACGGGUGGCGAGUGGCGGACGGGUGAGGAAUACAUCGGAAUCUACUUUUUCGUGGGGGAUAACGUAGGGAAACUUACGCUAAUACCGCAUACGAUCUACGGGUGAAAGCAGGGGAUCUUCGGACCUUGCGCGAUUGAAUUAGCCGAUGUCGGAUUAGCUAGUUGGCGGGGUAAAGGCCCACCAAGGCGACGAUACGUAGCUGGUCUGAGAGGAUGAUCGGCCACACUGGAACUGAGACACGGUCCAGACUCCUACGGGAGGCAGCAGUGGGGAAUAUUGGGCAAUGGGCGCAAGCCUGAUCCAGCCAUACCGCGUGGGUGAAGAAGGCCUUCGGGUUGUAAAGCCCUUUUGUUGGGAAAGAAAAGCAGCAGGUGAAUACCCCGCUGUUCUGACGGUACCCAAAGAGUAAGCACCGGCUAACUUCGUG
rnacentral:rRNA from 1 species